CUAAUUGACCAUGGAUAAUGCAUCAGAGGAUUUGCCUAAGAGUGCUGAAAUCAUGGGGUUUCUAUUCGGGUUUUGACUGUUGUUUACAGAAAUCUAAGCAGUAUGAUGAAGCAUCAUGUUUUCAGUAAAUGAUCCAAUGGGACAAUGUUUUUAAAUUAACUGUUGUAUUAGCCAUAAUGCAAUUAUGCAAAAGGUAUGAGAUUUUCUAAUAAUCAGGCCCUUCUCCUAUUUCUUUUAUUAACAUAAACAUAUUAGAGUUGAGAAUGAAGCAUUAAUUAGUUCUGCUACUUACACUUAGUGAUUUAUCAACAGAUGCAUUCUAAAGGGCUAUUGCGUAGCAAUUGGGGUCAGAAAAUCUGUAAUAAACAAUUGUCAGAUGGGACUCCGAUGUGCUUCAGCUGUUUCAGAUUCAAGGUUUGUGGUGGUGAUUCCUUGCAACACCAGCAGAAUACUUUAAAUUAAUAAUUAGAGAUAUAUUUAUUUAUAACAUGUUUUAGAUGCCAUUGUGUUUGAAUAUCAUUUUAAAUUUGCUGAAGUUGGGUAAAGUCUCUUGCUUUCAUAAUACUGAAAGUAGUGUUUGAGAGUAAAAGCUAUAACAAACUUACAGGACAUCUCAGAUUAAUGAAUCGGUUUGUAAGUAGAUCAAGAAGAUGGACACCAAGACAUUCAUUCCCCUAUUACGCGAAGUCUAUAAAUUUUACCAAGGAUUCAACAUGAAGAUCAUUGAGGAUAUUCCCAUCUUCUUAGUCGAUUAUUUCUCUCACCCAAACUAGAACCUGUGAGUUCUUCUUUGGUGUUUUGAAAUUCUUUAUGAAGGAGCCAUUACAAGCAGUAAUCCUACAAAUGUUUCCACGAGCAUUCCCGUUACAAACCAAGGUCAGUGAUC